UACGAAGGGGGCUAGCGUUGCUCGGAAUCACUGGGCGUAAAGGGUGCGUAGGCGGGUUUUUAAGUCAGGGGUGAAAUCCUGGAGCUCAACUCCAGAACUGCCUUUGAUACUGAAGAUCUUGAGUUCGGGAGAGGUGAGUGGAACUGCGAGUGUAGAGGUGAAAUUCGUAGAUAUUCGCAAGAACACCAGUGGCGAAGGCAGCUCACUGGCCCGAUACUGACGCUGAGGCGCGACAGCGUGGGGGAGCAAACAGG
rnacentral:rRNA from 1 species